GAUGAACGCUGGCGGCGUGCUUAACACAUGCAAGUCGAACGAAGCGCCUUAUUUGAUUUUCUUCGGAACUGAAGAUUUGGUGACUGAGUGGCGGACGGGUGAGUAACGCGUGGGUAACCUACCCUGUACAGGGGGAUAACAAUCAGAAAUGACUGCUAAUACCGCAUAAGACCACAGCACCGCAUGGUGCAGGGGUAAAAACUCCGGUGGUACAGGAUGGACCCGCGUCUGAUUAGCUGGUUGGUGAGGUAACGGCUCACCAAGGCGACGAUCAGUAGCCGGCUUGAGAGAGUGAACGGCCACAUUGGGACUGAGACACGGCCCAAACUCCUACGGGAGGCAGCAGUGGGGAAUAUUGCACAAUGGGGGGAACCCUGAUGCAGCGACGCCGCGUGAGUGAAGAAGUAUUUCGGUAUGUAAAGCUCUAUCAGCAGGGAAGAAAAUGACG
rnacentral:rRNA from 1 species